GUGGGCGGUUCGCUGCCCGCGACGUCGCGAGAAGUCCACUGAACCUUAUCAUUUAGAGGAAGGAGAAGUCGUAACAAGGUUUCCGUAGGUGAACCUGCGGAAGGAUCAUUGUCGAUAUCUAAAAAGUAGACCUGUGAACACGUGUUUAACAUGAACGUUGCCUCGUUGGGCUGGAGCAAUCCACUCUUCGUGACACCGUGCCUGCCCGGUGCUUGCACUUGGUGGGCUAACGAAACCCGGCGCGGCAAGCGCCAAGGAAAACUAUAUGAAAGUAGCGUUGCUCCCCGUGACUCCYGUUCGCGGUGUGGUUUUGGGGAUGUGAUGUAUCUUGAAAGUCAAAACGACUCUCGGCAACGGAUAUCUCGGCUCUCGCAUCGAUGAAGAACGUAGCGAAAUGCGAUACUUGGUGUGAAUUGCAGAAUCCCGUGAACCAUCGAGUCUUUGAACGCAAGUUGCGCCCGACGCCUUCGGGCUGAGGGCACGCCUGCCUGGGCGUCACGCAUUGCGUCGCCCCCUACACCAAUUUGGUGAGGGGGCGGAUAAUGGCAUCCCGUUAGCUCGGUUUGCCCAAAAAGGAUCCCUCAUCGAUGGAUGUCACAACCAGUGGUGGUUGAAAGAUCAUUGGUGCCGUUGUGCUUCACUCCGUCGCAUGCUUGGGCAUCGUUACAAAACAAUGGUGCUAAUGCGCCUUCGACCGCGACCCCAGGUCAGACGGGACUACCCGCUGAGUUUAAGCAUAUC
rnacentral:sRNA from 1 species